UACAGAGGCCUCAAGCGUUAGGCGGAAUCACUGGGCUUAAAGCGCGUGUAGGCGGACCGUUAAGUACCUUGUGAAAUCCCACGGCUCAACCGUGGAACUGCUGGGUAUACUGGCGGUCUUGGGCCACUCAGGGGUUGCCGGAACAAGCGGUGGAGCGGUGAAAUGCGUAGAUAUCGCUUGGAACGCCGAAGGUGAAGACAGGCAACUGGGAGUGCGC
rnacentral:rRNA from 1 species